AGAUGUGAAGGCGAUCUGGCUGUGACAUCUGUCACCCCAUUGAUCACCAGUGUUGAUUCAGCUGAUCUAACUGGCUAAGCGGGUAUCCCCUUCCUCCCUCACCACUCCAUGUGCAUCCCUCCAGAACUGCGUGCUCUAUCGAAGAGGACGACCUUCCCCGAUAGAAGAGAAGAAUGCUCUUUGGUCAAGGUUAUACAGGUAGCCACGCUCCCUUGCUAACCUCCAAACAAGCUCACAAAACCCACUUAAUUUUGUAAAAAAAAAAGGGGGGUGCGGUUUGGAGAGAAGGAAGAGGAAAGGAAAGAAGGGAGAAAAACAAAAUGAAGACUAACCCUU
rnacentral:snRNA from 1 species